ACCUAGUGGGAGAGGCAGGAACAUCGACAGAUGGGCAUGACUCAGAGUGGAACGCACACGAAUGGAGAGAAGCAUCUGGUAUAGCCUGGUUGUGGACCAGGAGGACACCGGGGGGGCUUCCUGGAGGAAGCAAUUUAGAAAAGCAGUAAGCCUGAAACGGAGCCUAUGCAGGGGCUUGGCUCCUACCAUUUCGGGUUAUCUUAAUUAUGUCUCGCUGAGCCCACUCCCUUCCCUUCCUGACCCUCCAAUCUCCGAAUGCCGCGGGCGUGGGCUUUGGGGAGACGAAUCCAUGUGUAUGUGGUAUGCCUGUGGGUGGAUUUCUUCCCCCCUCCUUUUAUUAAAAGUUAAUGUUAUAACACCAGGAACUGAUUAUGUAAUGAAAGCUAAAUCUAUAAAGCAAAAGGCUCUUUCCCCUGGCUAUUUUUAGGCGAUGCCCAGUUGCCAGGCUUGGCCUUCAGCUCCAGUGCAACUGGAGGCCAGAGCUGAAUUUUCAAAUGUUGCACGGUGGCCCUUCAGGGCUGGAAAACAGCUCCUGGCAGAGAAGAAAGGGCAGGGCUUCGGCUGACUUGAGGGCUGAGUCAGGGCUGUACCAGGCUCCACACAAAGGAGCUGCAGCUGCGAGGAAAAAGGCCUCUUUAGCGAGGGAAGCCGAGGGGGGAGGAGGCUGUCAUGUGCACUUCUUGCCAAGCGCCGCCAUCCCAACAGAAGGGGAAACAGAAAAUCUUCAGUAAAUGGCCAGGAUUUCACUCCCUUCCACACCUGGGGUGGGGUGGGGACACCAUCAGAAAGGAUCCAGCAACUUGGAGAACCCAGAGGAGGGACACACGUGGGGAAACGGCCCGCCCUUUGGAGAAGCCCCACCUUCGGCAGGGCUCAGAGUUGCAGGGAAGGUGAGCAAGGACUGGAGGCUACUCUCCGACCCACCCACCCAGAGACCUCGCACCCAGGCAACAGCUGGACACUCAGGGCCUCCAGGGGCAGGCGGGUGUCCCUGGAGAGCCAGAGGGUGUGCGCAGGGGAUAAGAUCAGACCUGGCCCCUUCCACGGAUUUCAGCGCAGGGGCCCAAGGAGCAGAGGGAACACUGAGCACGUCCCUGGACGUCAGCAGGGAUCCUGCGGCCUUGAGGAAACUGGAGCUUCCCCAGCCAGCAGAUCACAGCGGGGAGGGGCCCAGGAAGAUGCCGCACAGGGACCCCAAAUCCUGACUUCACUGGACUAUGAGCUCCUGCCUCACAUGAGAAGAGACCGAAGUACCUUUAUGCACCGAGCUGAGACAUUUUUAUUGUGAAUUAUCAAUUACAGCAGAUACUUACUUUUUCCUGCACAUCUGAGAUGUAAUGUACACAUGUUCCCCAGCCAUUUCAUUAAGUCUUCAAUAAAUAUGAGCUGCCAUCA